GAUGAACGCUAGCGGCAGGCUUAAUACAUGCAAGGCGAAGGGUCAGCAAUGACACUGUCGUACGGGUGCGUAACGCGUAUGCAACCUACCUAUCACUGGGGGAUAGCCCGGGGAAACCCGGAUUAAUACCGCAUAACACAGGGGCUCCACAUGGAGAUAUUUGUUAAAGAUUUAUCGGUGGUAGAUGGGCAUGCGUUCGAUUAGCUAGUUGGUAGGGUAACGGCCUACCAAGGCGACGAUCGAUAGGGGAGCUGAGAGGUUGAUCCCCCACACGGGCACUGAGAUACGGGCCCGACUCCUACGGGAGGCAGCAGUAGGGAAUAUUGGGCAAUGGAUGCAAGUCUGACCCAGCCAUGCCGCGUGCCGGAAGAAGGCCCUCAGGGUUGUAAACGGCUUUUAUUCGGGAAGAAGAGCAGGGAUGCGUCCUUGUGUGACGGUACCGAAUGAAUAAGCACCGGCUAACUCCGUG
rnacentral:rRNA from 1 species